ACGGGGGCAGCAGUGGGGAAUAUUGGACAAUGGGGGAAACCCUGAUCCAGCGACGCCGCGUGAGUGAAGAAGUAUUUCGGUAUGUAAAGCUCUAUCAGCAAGGAAGAAAAUGACGGUACUUGACUAAGAAGCCCCGGCUAACUACGUGCCAGCAGCCGCGGUAAUACGUAGGGGGCAAGCGUUAUCCGGAUUUACUGGGUGUAAAGGGAGCGUAGACGGCAAAGCAAGUCUGAAGUGAAAUCCCGGGGCUCAACCCUGGAACUGCUUUGGAAACUGUUUAGCUAGAGUGCAGGAGAGGUAAGUGGAAUUCCUAGUGUAGCGAUGAAAUGCGUAGAUAUUAGGAGGAACACCAGUGGCGAAGGCGGCUUACUGGACUGUAACUGACGUUGAGGCUCGAAAGCGUGGGGAGCAAACAGGAUUAGAUACCCUGGUA
rnacentral:rRNA from 1 species